CGCCUGCAUGCUAAUAGAGCAGCUCUGAGUGGGAUGAGAAAGCCAGCUUGACUCUGCAAGGUGCUCUGAUUUCCUCCAAAUCAAACCAGCGAGCCGUCAUCAGCGGGACAUUUCCUCAGAUCUCUGCAUAAAGGCUCAUACAGGUGACAAACGGUCCAAACUGGAAUCAGUGCGUUUUAUCCAUGGGGGGUGGGGGCUGGUGACCCUCAUCGCUACUCUUUCUAAAAUUCUUUUAUUUUUGUUUUCAAUUUCGUGUUGACGCGACGUUCCACUGCGCCGAUUUGCACAUGCGGACACAUAUGACGCAGCUGCGCCCCUUUGGCCGCGAUUUAAUCACAGCCUAUAAUACGGAUAUCUGAUAAUUUUUUUUUGGAGGGGGUCAGGGAUGGCGCACCGGAGUGUCCCGUUUUCUAACAAGUUUCCGCUGCUGUUUGGUAUGUCCGUCAUGUCCGCCCCUUCAUGAGCGCCUCUCCGCGUAGAACCAGGCGCAGGUUCCGAAGUUGGCCGGGAAUAACAAUAAGAGGACUGCGCAUCGCUGAGGACGAAGAGCAGAAGUGACAGCGGCUGAAUUCCCUACCAGCAUCAUCAGCAUCUCUGCGAGGAAUAAAAACUGUGCGGGGGGCUCUGCUGCUGCCCACUCCCUCUUCAUCCACACACUUUUUUUUUUUUUGGGUAAGAUUUUCUGCAGUGAAUCCAAGCGUCUGAAAGCAAAGCUGCGUAAAACUUGGCCAGAUCUGGUAACACUGCCGCCUUUGUGCGCAGUCCGGAUGGAUAUGCGCCUCAUGGAGGGAAUUUAAUCAUAAGAUAAAAAGCAAGGGGGGGAUUAUUAUUAUUAGACCCUCUUUUAUUUUACCUUCAAAAUGGAUGCCUACCAAAGGGUUUGGGGACGCCACUGGAUAAGCCACCGUUCCGCGAUCUGAGAGGCACCUGCGUUUAAAGUUUGGAUCAAUCUGUCGGUGUAGGAUGCAGUCUGGAGCCAAGACGCUCUCCGCAGGUGGAGGGGCGUCACUCUGCUGCCUGCUUCUCCUCUGGCUCAUUUACUCACAUCUGCUUAGAGAAGGCCAGUUGGCGGUGGGGACCUGCGAGAUAGUGAUGCUCAACAGAGACAGCAGUGUUCCUAGACGGACAAUCGCCAGGCAGACCGCCCGCUGCGCCUGCCGGAGAGGCCAGAUUGCCGGCACCACCAGGGCGAGGCCGGCGUGUGUAGACGCGCGAAUUGUGCGGAGCCGUCAGUGGUGUGAGAUGGCUCCCUGCAUGGAGGGGGAGGUCUGCAGCCUCCUGUUCAACAGAUCCGGCUGGACCUGCACCAGGGGCAGUGGUCGCAUCAAGACCGUCACGAACAUAUGAACUACGUCAGCAGAAGACCAAAGUGGGAACUAUUUCUCCUUUACCCAAGGAGCCAUCGUAGGUGGAAGAGGAAAAACAGCAGGGUCACCAACAGCUCUCUAUUUACACAAGCAAAGCGGUGGCCAGUCACUACAUCUGUAUCCAUUGACCAACGGGCCUCAGUGACAUUUCCACGAGGACUGACCAUCCAGGACAAAAAGAAAAAAAAAAGCUUCGACAGUCUCUACAGCAAAACUUGAGAGAACUCAGAGGAGCAAUACACCAUUAGCAUUGAACUUUCACCCUCAGCAAGAUCACAAAGUCAUCAUUGAAAAGUGAAAACAAGAAAAAAAAAAAACACGAGCCUUUAUGUCAUCCACAACCUGAUUUCUAUGGAAGGGAUCCAUGAGGAUCUUCCUGUUUGCACCUUUGUGACAGGAUUCAAACUUAUUAGAGGUUAUUUUAGAGAGUCAACUGCUUUAUCUUCAUUCCACUCCCCUCCAUGAAACUAUAAUAACCCGGCCAUGUUUCGUUAAUGACACUUUGCUGCUAAACAGUUUGGACUUUACAGACGCUGAGCCACACCGUUCCGUCUGUCAAAUUAAAGCCUUUAACACCUUUCUCCUGUUUGACUCGGUGAAACUUUACGAGGCUGAAGAGGACGCCGUGGAACCAUGACUGGGAAGCAGCGUGAAAGUCACAGAAGAGACGACAGGAAAAAGUUGUCAGUGCUUUCUCAGUGAACGAUGGUACUUUCAAAACAUUUUGGAUGACUUAGCUUCAAUCAUGAUUUUUUUUUCUUUUUUUUUUAAAUGUGAUGUAAACAUAGACUAGCAGAGUGAUUUUUGUCAAUGAACUCCACACAUAAUGUUCACAGCACUGGGAACAUUUAGCAGAUGUGGGCUCCCGGCUCAUUUUGUGUGUUAUGGAAGUUGGUGCAUGUUUGCUUCUGUCCGUGUGUGUGUGUGUAUGUCUGAGUGUGUGUGUGAGAGAGAAAAGAGAGAGACAGAGGGUACAUCAGGAAACACUGUGAAGUAAGUUCUAUCCAAUGCAUUAUUCAUGCUCUUGUAUAUUUUUGGGACAUGCCCAGACCAGAGCUCACCAUCUGGCAAAGAGAAUUUUACAGAUGUUGAAUCUCUUUCAAAUCCUCUCUUUUGUUUCUUUUUUGCUUUCCUUCUCCAUUAACAUUUGCAGAUAUUUAUACAGGAGUAAGAAAAUAUGUCACAUAAGUUAAAUACUGUAAUCAAUCUCUGUUCCUGUGAUUAAAUGUAUCUCUGAAUCCUGUCGAAAUUGAAUAUAUUUUGAUAUCAGAUGUUUUGGGGGCCAGCUCUUUGGAGGGUUUGGUGUUUGCAAAUUUAGAAGAUAGCCUGACUUGUUUUAAAAAUGUAAAUAGAUCCAUAUAUAUCCAACAAAUAUAUUUUAUGUUCUUGUAAAAGGGCAGCAGAAGUUGCUUUUAAUUUGGGUGGACACAAAAACAUUAGCACCUCUAAGCAAACCCAACCUGAACAUUGUAAAAGUAGGCAACAUUUUCUCCUGAAUUGUGAGGGUUUAUUUUAAGUUAAUAAUUUAAGAAGACAGCAACAGUCUGUGUUGUUAUGUUGAGGUGUUUUUGUUCAUGUGUCCACUCCAUUUGUUUGAUUUCCUUCUACUUGAAAACAAAACAUCACCUGUAUACAGCUCCAUUUUCUGUAUGCAUUUGAGGAUAUAAAUAGAGUGUCUGUUUUUUAAGGUGUUGAGGAUGAACUUGGUGUAUUUGUGUGAAUUGUUUUACACCGUUUGAAGCCCUUAGGGUGCAACAGUUUUCUAGAAGGUAAAAUCACUUGUCCAAACAUCUGUUUAGGCUUCAGAUAGUGGUUAAAGGCAUCAUGUGAACAAAGGCUUGCAAGAAAUACAAAAAAUAGCAAAUGUGUUUUUGAGAGAGUGGCUUUAUGGUUCUUUUUGGGGGGUUUUUCUAAGUCAGGUAUGGUCAGUGAAGUGAAAAAAACAUUGUUCCUACCUUAUCCCAUGGUUUUGAUUUAGUGCUGUCUUUAUAAUCACAUCUUUGGUUUUGCACUCAGUGUAAAUAAACUGUUGCUUUGAUUUUACUCACUGUUGCUUUUGGUGAUGCUGCACAUGGACUCAUUAAAACUUUUGAGCUAAACUGAGGAAGAAAUUAGAAGCAUUCUACUGAUGCUGAAAACUAGACAUGGUGUGGUUAGAUUCUGACAGAAUGAUAUGUUUGACAAACCUUCACUAAAAUAGGAACAGAGUCUACCAUUACCUUCCUAUGCAUUUGAUGUUGUAGCCCAAAAAUGCCAUUCCCAGAAAACCCAACUGGUAUUAUUGAAUAUGUUUAAAUGCAGUACAACUCUUAAGUCAGCAUUAUUCUAGACAUAUGAGCCUCCACUGCAGAAUGGAAGCAAGUGGGACAGAUUAGAGGUGCAGGCUAGACUUAAUCUCAAAGUUAUCUUUGUAGACCCUCUGUCUGCAUUAAGACAGAUUUUAACUAUUGUAUGCUAGAGAAUCUCCAAUGGUCAGUACGUGACCUACUUUCUCAUUCCAUCAAUUGUUUGGCUACUUGAGGUGUAACACCAUGUAAGGAAAUACGCUUAUAUCUCUGCAAGAUCUCAGAUCACUUGAAUUUUAGCCUUCUGGUUUCAAUUUUAUUGCUAAGUUCAUAUUUUUAGGGCAGUAUUGGGUAAUCUCCCUAGCUUAAAAUGUUCACACCAAAAUACUUGCAAUGAAUACAAAACUGUAUAGUUUACAAGACUCCUAGUUUUUCUGUUCUUUUCAUGUGUUGUCGUCUAUCUGUAUUCCCUAUUCAAAACAGAUACAUAAUAUAUUCACAACCCCUUUAAGAUAACAUUGGAGCCUAGGCCGAGAUACCACACUGAAAAUAACCAGUUAACAGUUUUUUUUAGAUGAGAACCUGGAGUCACUAUUUUAAUCCUAAUAUAAAUAUUCAUGUUUUUUUUUAUUAUUUAUCUAUUUUCCUCAUCUGAGGAAAUCCCAAAAAACUUUACUUACCAAAACAACUAAAAAUAGCUGUUAUUGUUUGGAGGCAAAAACUGAACAGUCUAAAUGCACAUUUAACCGGGGAAUAUCUACUAACAAUUCUAAGUUUAUUGGU